UGAUGACGAGACGCUAAGGCGUUGAAGCAGUGUAUGUCAGACUUCCAAGAAAAGCUCGCAAUGUCACUAAUAAAAAAUGCCUGUACCAUAACCGACACAGGUGGGUAGGUAGAGUAUACUAAGGGGCGCGAGAUAACUCUCUCUAAGGAACUCGGCAAAAUGACUCCGUAACUUCGGGAGAAGGAGUGCCUUAUUUAUAAGGUUGCAAUAACAAGAUCCAAGCAACUGUUUAUCAAAAACACAGGUCUCCGCUAAGUCGUAAGACGAUGUAUGGGGGCUGACGCCUGCCCAGUGCCAGAAGGUUAAAGAAGUUGGUUAGUGUAUGCGAAGCUGAUGACUGAAGCCCUGGUGAACGGCGGCCGUAACUAUAACGGUCCUAAGGUAGCGAAAUUCCUUGUCGGGUAAGUUCCGACCCGCACGAAAGGCGUAAUGAUUUGGAUACUGUCUCGGAGAGAGGCUCGGUGAAAUAGACUUGUCUGUGAAGAUGCGGACUACCUGCACCAGGACAGAAAGACCCUAUGAAGCUUUACUGUAACUUGAAAUUGGAAUUGGACUUUGCUUGCGCAGUAUAGGUGGGAAGCGUUGAAAAUAUUCUUGCGGGAGUAUUGGAGCUAUCAGUGAGAUACCACUCUUGUAAUGUUAGAUUUCUAACUUUGAACCAUAAUCUGGUCAAAGAACAGUUUCAGGUGGGCAGUUUGACUGGGGCGGUCGCCUCCCAAAUGGUAACGGAGGCGUACAAAGGUUUCCUCUGAACGGAUAGAAAUCGUAUCUAGAGUGUAAAGGCAUAAGGAAGCUUGACUGUGAGACCUACAAGUCGAGCAGGGACGAAAGUCGGUCUUAGUGAUCUGACGGUACUGAGUGGAAAGGCCGUCACUCAACGGAUAAAAGUUACUCUAGGGAUAACAGGCUGAUCUCCCCCAAGAGUUCACAUCGACGGGGAGGUUUGGCACCUCGAUGUCGGCUCAUCGCAUCCUGGGGCGGUAGUACGUCCCAAGGGUUGGGCUGUUCGCCCAUGAAAGCGGUACGCGAGCUGGGUUCAGAACGUCGUGAGACAGUUCGGUCCAUAUCCGGUGUAGGCGCUAGAAUAUUGAGAGGAGCCUUCUUUAGUACGAGAGGACCGAGAAGGACACACCGCUGGUGUACCAGUUAUCGUGCCAACGGUAAACGCUGGGUAGCUAUGUGUGGAGUGGAUAACCGCUGAAAGCAUCUAAGUGGGAAGCCCACCUCGAGAUGAGUAUUCCC
rnacentral:rRNA from 1 species